rnacentral:rRNA from 1 species
UGGGGAAUAUUGGACAAUGGGCGAAAGCCUGAUCCAGCCAUGCCGCGUGUGUGAAGAAGGUCUUCGGAUUGUAAAGCACUUUAAGUUGGGAGGAAGGGCAGUAAGCGAAUACCUUGCUGUUUUGACGUUACCGACAGAAUAAGCACCGGCUAACUCUGUGCCAGCAGCCGCGGUAAUACAGAGGGUGCAAGCGUUAAUCGGAAUUACUGGGCGUAAAGCGCGCGUAGGUGGUUCGUUAAGUUGAAUGUGAAAGCCCCGGGCUCAACCUGGGAACUGCAUCCAAAACUGGCGAGCUGGAGUAGGGCAGAGGGUGGUGGAAUUUCCUGUGUAGCAGUGAAAUGCGUAGAUAUAGGAAGGAACACCAGUGGCGAAGGCGACCACCUGGGCUCAUACUGACACUGAGGUGCGAAAGCGUGGGGAGCAAACAGG